rnacentral:tRNA from 1 species
CAGAACAUAAUUAAAUUAGAAUGCUGGCUUUGGGGGUCAGUUGUGGGGGUAAGAGUCCCCCUGUUCUGA